UACGUAGGUGGCAAGCGUUGUCCGGAUUUACUGGGCGUAAAGAGCGCGCAGGCGGUCGUUCAAGUCGCGUGUGAAAGCCCCCGGCUCAACUGGGGAGGGUCACGCGAUACUGAUCGACUCGAAGGCAGGAGAGGGAAGUGGAAUUCCCGGUGUAGUGGUGAAAUGCGUAGAUAUCGGGAGGAACACCAGUGGCGAAGGCGGUUCUCUGGGCCUUACCUGACGCUGAGGAGACGAAAGCGGUG
rnacentral:rRNA from 1 species